rnacentral:piRNA from 1 species
UAGAACUAAGUGGUCCCUGCAAAGAA